ACCACAGUGGCUCAGUCGCUGGAGCGUACCACUUAUGCCUCUGUGGUUGUGGAUUCGAUUCCACCGGUGUUG